rnacentral:rRNA from 1 species
AUUGAACGCUGGCGGUAGGCCUAACACAUGCAAGUCGAACGGUAACAGGUCUUCGGAUGCUGACGAGUGGCGAACGGGUGAGUAAUACAUCGGAACGUGCCCAGACGUGGGGGAUAACGAGGCGAAAGCUUUGCUAAUACCGCAUACGAUCUAAGGAUGAAAGCGGGGGAUCUUCGGACCUCGCGCGUUUGGAGCGGCCGAUGGCAGAUUAGGUAGUUGGUGGGAUAAAAGCUUACCAAGCCGACGAUCUGUAGCUGGUCUGAGAGGACGACCAGCCACACUGGGACUGAGACACGGCCCAGACUCCUACGGGAGGCAGCAGUGGGGAAUUUUGGACAAUGGGCGCAAGCCUGAUCCAGCAAUGCCGCGUGCAGGAUGGAAGGCCUUGGGUUGUUAAACUGUCUUUAGUACGGAACGAAAGGU